rnacentral:rRNA from 1 species
AUGCCGGGCCUUUAUAGGUCUGGCAAUUGGAAUGAGAACAAUUUAAAUCCCUUAUCGAGGAUCAAUUGGAGGGCAAGUCUGGUGCCAGCAGCCGCGGUAAUUCCAGCUCCAAUAGCGUAUAUUAAAGUUGUUGCAGUUAAAAAGCUCGUAGUUGGAUUUGUGGCGUACGGUGGGUCCCGGGCACUAGUUGUCUGAGUGACUUGCCGUUGCCAUCCUUGGGUGGAACCUGUGUGGCAUUAGGUUGUCGUGCAGGGGAUGCCCAUCUUUUACUGUGAAAAAAUUAGAGUGUUCAAAGCAGGCUUAUGCCGUUGAAUAUAUUAGCAUGGAAUAAUGAGAUAGGACUUUUUCGCUAUUUUGUUGGUUUGCGCGAAGAGGUAAUGAUUAAUAGGGACAGUUGGGGGUAUUCGUAUUCCAUUGUCAGAGGUGAAAUUCUUGGAUUUCUGGAAGACGAACUACUGCGAAAGUAUUUACCAAGGAUGUUUUCAUUAAUCAAGAACGAAAGUUAGGGGAUCGAAGAUGAUUAGAUACCAUCGUAGUCUUAACCAUAAACUAUGCCGACAAGGGAUUGGUGGAGUCUCGUUACGUCUCCAUCAGCACCUUAUGAGAAAUCACAAGUCUUUGGGUUCCGGGGGGAGUAUGGUCGCAAGGCUGAAACUUAAAGAAAUUGACGGAAGGGCACCACCAGGAGUGGAGCCUGCGGCUAAAUUUGACCCAACACGGGAAAACUUACCAGGUCCAGACAUAGUGAGGAUUGACAGAUUGAGAGCUCUUUCUUGAUUCUAUGGGUGGUGGCGCAUGGCCGUUCUUAGUUGGUGGAGUGAUUUGUCUGGUUAAUUCCGUUAACGAACGAGACCCCUGCCUGCUAAAUAGCCCAGUGAGUGAAUCUUCACUGACUGCUGGCUUCUUAGAGGGACGUGCAUUCUAUCAGAUGCAGGAAGAUAGGGGCAAUAACAGGUCUGUGAUGCCCUUAGAUGUCCUGGGCCGCACGCGCGCUACACUGAUGCUUUCAACGAGUCCUACCUUGGCCGAGAGGCCUGGGCAAUCUUUUGAACGUGCAUCGUGAUAGGGAUAGAUUAUUGCAAUUAUUAAUCUUGAACGAGGAAUUCCUAGUAAACGCAAAUCAUCAAUUUGCAUUGAUUACGUCCCUGCCCUUUGUACACACCGCCCGUCGCACCUACCGAUUGAAUGGUCCGGUGAAGCCUCGGGAUUGUGACCAGUUUCCUUUAUUGGGAGUUGGUCGUGAGAACUUGUCUAAACCUUAUCAUUUAGAGGAAGGUGAAGUC